AGCCGGUGAUGACAAAAUCAAACAACUUUUCUGACACCUACUAUGAGAGUUGUUCUUCAGCUCCUGAUUCUAACUUCUCUCUGAGGCUU